CUACGUGCCAGCAGCCGCGGUAAUACGGAGGGUGCGAGCGUUAAUCGGAAUAACUGGGCGUAAAGGGCACGCAGGCGGUGACUUAAGUGAGGUGUGAAAGCCCCGGGCUUAACCUGGGAAUUGCAUUUCAUACUGGGUCGCUAGAGUACUUUAGGGAGGGGUAGAAUUCCACGUGUAGCGGUGAAAUGCGUAGAGAUGUGGAGGAAUACCGAAGGCGAAGGCAGCCCCUUGGGAAUGUACUGACGCUCAUGUGCGAAAGCGUGGGGAGCAAACAGGAUUAGAUACCCUGGUAGUCCACGCUGUAAACGAUGUCGAUUUGGGGGUUGAGCUUUGAGCUUGGCGCCCGUAGCUAACGUGAUAAAUCGACCGCCUGGGGAGUACGGCCGCAAGGUUAAAACUCAAAUGAAUUGACGGGGGCCCGCMCAAGCGGUGGAGCAUGUGGUUUAAUUCGAUGCAACGCGAAGAACCUUACCUACUCUUGACA
rnacentral:rRNA from 1 species